rnacentral:rRNA from 1 species
GACGAACGCUGGCGGCGUGCCUAAUACAUGCAAGUGGGACGCAAGGGAACACACUGUGCUUGCACACCGUGUUUUCUUGAGUCGCGAACGGGUGAGUAACGCGUAGGUAACCUGCCUAUUAGCGGGGGAUAACUAUUGGAAACGAUAGCUAAUACCGCAUAAUAUUAAUUAUUGCAUGAUAAUUGAUUGAAAGAUGCAAGCGCAUCACUAGUAGAUGGACCUGCGUUGUAUUAGCUAGUUGGUAAGGUAAGAGCUUACCAAGGCGACGAUACAUAGCCGACCUGAGAGGGUGAUCGGCCACACUGGGACUGAGACACGGCCCAGACUCCUACGGGAGGCAGCAGUAGGGAAUCUUCGACAAUGGACGAAAGUCUGACCGAGCAACGCCGCGUGAGUGAAGAAGGUUUUCGGAUCGUAAAGCUCUGUUGUAAGUCAAGAACGUGUGUGAGAGUGGAAAGUUCACACAGUGACGGUAGCUACCAGAAA